rnacentral:tRNA from 1 species
GGGGUUGUAGCUUCGUGGUAAAGCACUUGCCUUGCAAGCAUAAGGCCUUAGAGGUUUGAUCCUCAGCCCCA